rnacentral:rRNA from 1 species
CACGUAGGGGGCGAGCGUUGUCCGGAAUUACUGGGCGUAAAGGGCGCGCAGGCUGUUAUGCGAGUCUGCUGUGAAAUGUACCGGCUCAACCGGUGCCUUGCGGCGGAUACUGCAUAGCUGGAGUACUGGAGAGGGAAGUGGAAUUCCUAGUGUAGCGGUGAAAUGCGUAGAUAUUAGGAGGAACACCAGUUGCGAAGGCGGCUCUCUGGACUGUAACUGACGCUGAGGCACGAAAGCGUGGGGAGCAAACAGGAUUA